rnacentral:rRNA from 1 species
CUACGGGCGGCUGCAGUGAGGAAUAUUGCACAAUGGGGGGAACCCUGAUGCAGCAACGCCGCGUGGAGGAUGACGCAUUUCGGUGUGUAAACUCCUUUUAUAUGUCAAGAAAAUGACGGUAGCAUAUGAAUAAGCACCGGCUAACUCCGUGCCAGCAGCCGCGGUAAUACGGAGGGUGGAAGCGUUACUCGGAAUCACUGGGCGUAAAGGACGCGUAGGCGGGUUGGAAAGUCAGGUGUGAAAUCCUACAGCUUAACUGUAGAACUGCACUUGAAACUUCUAAUCUAGAGUAUGGGAGGGGGAGAUGGAAUUAGGGGUGUAGGGGUAAAAUCCGUAGAUAUCACUAGGAAUACCUAAAGCGAAGGCGAUCUCCUGGAACAUUACUGACGCUAAGGCGUGAAAGCGUGGGGAGCAAACAGGAUUAGAUACCCCCGUAGUC